AACGGAUAAUACUGAAACAUCAAUUAUACGCUUAAACGUCACUUUUGUGUCUAAAUAAAUAUUAAAUUAACUCACUAUUGGGCACCACGUUUGUCCAAACAUAAUAAAGCGAUGCGAAACGCGAUUUCUUUAGCACAUAUGUCCUUGUGAAUAUUAUAACCGUCUGAACACGCCUAAAAAACUAAUAACUACUAUUGUCCGUCAACGUGUUAGGAUACGGGAAAAACUAACAUUUCGUUGUCACU